rnacentral:rRNA from 1 species
AGGCUAAUACNUGAACGUAGAACCCGGUUGACUAGGCUUCACGGCCCGGGAUGCUGGGGGAUGUGCGAUUGGCAGGCNUGGGUAACACCGGGAAAGGGCGCGCGUCCAGACCGCGCUAUAAAGGAUGGGCUCCUCACGGGGCCUGCCCCAGCGGCUCUUGCUGUGUGCUUCUGACCUAUCAACUAGACGGCAGCGUAAGGGACAUGCUAUGGUGACAACG